rnacentral:lncRNA from 1 species
UCAUACUCACAGGUGGUCCCGGUCACAUCCUCCUCUUCUUCUUCUUCGCCGUCAUCUCAUGAAUAUCCUUUCUUUGACAUAUCUUGCAAGUCUGUGGAUCUCAAAUACGAGCUAUUACAUGGCGGAGAUGGAUCACAAUUGGAAUCCUGUAUCAAGAAAAAGAUCAUGAAUUUUCUUAACAUGUCUACGAAUGAAUAUUCCAUGGUGUUUACUGCUAAUAGAUCAUCAGCUUUCAAGCUUAUAGCCGAAUCUUACCCUUUCAAAACGAGUCGAAAGCUUCUUACCGUUUAUGAUCAUGAGAGUGAAGCAUUGGAGAGUAUGGUCAAUACAUCAGAGAAAAGAGGGGCUAACAUAAUGUCAGCAGAAUUUAAAUGGCCACGGCUACGAAUAAACUCCGCGAAACUCAGGAAACUGAU